rnacentral:rRNA from 1 species
UACGUAGGGUGCAAGCGUUAAUCGGAAUGACUGGGCGUAAAGGGUGCGCAGGCGGUCUGCUAAGACAGAGGUGAAAUCCCCCGGGCUUAACCUGGGAAUGGCCUAUGUGACUGGCAGGCUAGAGGAUGGCAGAGGGAGGCGGAAUGCCACGUGUAGCAGUGAAAUGCGUAGAGAUGUGGCGGAACACCGAUGGCGAAGGCAGCCUCCUGGGCCAAUCCUGACGCUCAGGCACGAAAGCGUGGGGAGCAAACAGG